AUUGAACGCUGGCGGCAGGCCUAACACAUGCAAGUCGAAUGGUAACAGGAAACAGCUUGCUGUUUCGCUGACGAGUGGCGGACGGGUGAGUAAUGUCUGGGAAACUGCCUGAUGGAGGGGGAUAACUACUGGAAACGGUAGCUAAUACCGCAUAACGUCGCAAGACCAAAGAGGGGGACCUUCGGGCCUCUUGCCAUCGGAUGUGCCCAGACGGGAUUAGCUAGUAGGUGGGGUAACGGCUCACCUAGGCGACGAUCCCUAGCUGGUCUGAGAGGAUGACCAGCCACACUGGAACUGAGACACGGUCCAGACUCCUACGGGAGGCAGCAGUGGGGAAUAUUGCACAAUGGGCGCAAGCCUGAUGCAGCCAUGCCGCGUGUAUGAAGAAGGCCUUCGGGUUGUAAAGUACUUUCAGCGGGGAGGAAGGGAGUAAAGUUAAUACCUUUGCUCAUUGACGUUACCCGCAGAAGAAGCACCGGCUAACUCCGUG
rnacentral:rRNA from 1 species